UUGCCCAUUGGCCACGUUCAGCAUUGCUCUUGCUCACCGAGUGUCAGCCACACAGCCGCGCGCGCCAUGUCGCUCGCCACCGCCGGAGCGCGCGCGUCCCUCCGCUCCUCAUCGCGGCCCUUGCUCGCCCUCGCCCUCGACCGCCACCGCCGCCCCUACAGGUCCUCGCCCGCCGCCACUUCCGCUGCGGCACGGGGGCGAAGGCGGGCCGUCCUUCUCCAGGUGCGCGCGGCCAGGACGGAGUCCGCCGGCGUCUCCGUCGGGUUCCGCGCUCCGGAGUUCGAGCUCCCGGAGCCGCUGACGGGGAAGCUCUGGACAUUGGAUGACUUCCAAGGCAAUCCGGCGUUGCUGGUUAUGUUUGUAUGUAAUCAUUGCCCGUUUGUAAAGCACCUCAAAAAAGAUAUUGCGAAACUCUCCUCAUUCUACAUGGAGAAAGGACUUGCUGCUGUUGCCAUAUCCUCAAACUCCAUUGUGACACACCCACAGGAUGGUCCUGAAUACAUGGCUGAGGAGGCGAAGUUAUAUAAGUACCCUUUCCCUUAUCUAUAUGAUGAGUCUCAAGAAGUUGCUAAAGCUUUUCAAGCGGUCUGCACUCCAGAGUUUUACUUGUUCAAAAAGGAUGGACGAAGACCAUUUGAACUUUUUUACCAUGGCCAGUUUGAUGAUUCAAGACCAAGUAACAAUGUGCCAGUCACUGGAAGGGAUUUAAGUCGUGCAAUUGACUGUGCACUUAGUGGGCAAGAGUUACCUUUUGUGCCAAAACCCAGUGUCGGCUGCAGCAUCAAAUGGCAUCCAUGAAGAUGGUAUUGCAUCGUCACUUGCUGGAAAAGAUUAUUCUUUCCCUUAAAUUGAAGGGCAAUGGAUGCUGUUGAGGCGUCCUGGAGCUGGUUUAUAUGUUCAUGGUGGUUGUUUGACAUCAGAAAUGCAAAAUUACACAUGAAUGGUACCGACAGUGUUUUGGGAUUGAGAUUCUCUGACUGUAUUUUCUUCCUGAUAUAGAGGCUGACAUGUGGGUCCCACAGUCAUUGGGCCCACAUAUGAACCACCAAGUCGGAAGAAAAGUUAUGUCAGAGGAGCUUCGUCCGUGUUCUGUGGUGUGGUGUUCUGUGGUGUGGCGAUGUCUUCUCUUGCCCGAAAUUAACUUGAUGUGUUGAUAUAAUACAGUGGGAUGAUAAUGUAUAGAAAUACAUUUAACCCAUUAUAUAACUAACACUCAUGUGCUACCAGUACUCUUAGCAACAUCAAACCAUUAUGCAUGUGCUUCUUGCAGAGAAAAUAAGCAACGAUUUGCAGGGAGAUUGCU